GACUGAUUGGUUGUUGUUACGGAAAAAUAAAUUAACUUCAAACUAAUUCUUUGCACGCUACUUUUACUACGUAUUGCACAUAUUGGAGAUGUGCAAAAAAAAAAAAAAAAGAAUUUCUAUAGGAUUUGAUUUAUAAAUGUUAGAAGAAAAAAAGGAAAGAUAAUUCCUGUAGUCUACGGGCGGUGAAAAAAAAAGAUACCAAAAAUCUUGACAGCGUGGGACCACCC
rnacentral:lncRNA from 1 species